CAGGAAAACACAUCGGUAAAAACCCCUCCAGUAGCUCACCGAAUUCCAGCACCAGGCCCCCUUACCUCUCCUCCCCUGCCGACGUCAGCAUCCUCGUCCGACGUCACAGGAGCCGAAAGCGCAUGCGCGACAUUCAAAGUGUCCGUAAGAAAGCAUUUGUCAAUGCUUUCCUAUGGACGCUCUGCGUGAUUGAGGCAUAAUAUAGAGGCUGGC